GGAGUUAGCCGGUGCUUCUUCUGUGAGUGAUGUCCUUCCUGCCGGCUAUUAACCCGCAGGCCUUCUUCCUCACUGAAAGUGCUUUACAACCCGAAGGCCUUCUUCACACACGCGGCAUGGCUGGAUCAGGGUUGCCCCCAUUGUCCAAUAUUCCCCACUGCUGCCUCCCGUAGGAGUCUGGGCCGUGUCUCAGUCCCAGUGUGGCUGAUCAUCCUCUCAGACCAGCUACGGAUCGUCGCCUUGGUGAGCCGUUACCUCACCAACCAGCUAAUCCGACAUAGGCUCAUCCGAUAGCGCGAGGCCCGAAGGUCCCCCGCUUUCCCCCGUAGGGCGUAUGCGGUAUUAGCCUGGGUUUCCCCAGGUUAUCCCCCACUACCGGGCAGAUUCCUAUGCAUUACUCACCCGUCCGCCGCUCGCCACCAGGGAGCAAGCUCCCCGUGCUGCCGCUCGACUUGCAUGUGUUAGGCCUGCCGCCAGCGUUCAAUCUGAACCAACGAUACAAUACUGA
rnacentral:rRNA from 1 species